AAACAUGAUAAAUUUGAAUAGGAAGUUAUGCUGUUGAUGAACAUAAAGUCAAUGAUGGCAAGUUUCAUCUGCCACACCCUCUUUUGGAAGACUGAAAUCAAGUGCUAAAUUUAAAAUUUAACCGUUUCUCAAAGAAACAAUAUUCAAUGGGAGCCCAUGUAUUUAUCUAACUUGGGAACGUUAGCCUAGAUAUAUUGAGCUAAGUUUCAAAAGCUUGCAUACAUCUAACCUUCAUCCUUCUGCACCACGACAACCAAAACUAUUUUAAAUUGCAAAUCCCAUACUUAUUUUUAACAAAAAUUUAAAUUACUUACAAUUUUCUUAAAUAUUUAUUCAAAGGUUCAAAAUGUGAUGUUGCUCAUGUCAUGUUUAUUAUCCAAUCAAGCUUUUCGUUAAGGAUGGGCUAUAUAGUUGAAAGGUGGGGCUCAUCUGAAUGGAAUACUGAUUUGCAUAGGAAUAUAAACAAAGGGAAAACGUUAUAUUUUCAACUUUUGAUGACUGAAUCCUAUCAUUCAAUCUAAACUCUGGUGAGCUAUGGCAGAUCCACGUGUUAUGUAUUCAGAACCGGCAAAGUUCGUAGCAAAGCUGAGGGAUAUGAAAACUGAUGAUAAUUUGCUGCUGUUGAAAUGUGAUCUCUGUGCUGGGCAUUCUUCAAAGUCAGGAAGGUUUGAGAGGCUUCAGGAAGAUGCAUUCAAAUAUACUUUUCUGAUGAAGGUUCUAAAUAUGAUCCCUGACCUUGGUUCUAGCUAGAAAUGAUAAAAUCUAUGCUUAAAUUUCAUAUUCUUCAUCUCUGCGAACUAAUACUAUGGUUCAUGCGGAUAGAUAUAUACUUGAAAUGAAGGUGAAAUUGAAUGCGUUUCAAAUAAAAAAUCUUAAAAAAUUAAAAUUAUAAUAAAACCAAAUUCUCUUUCAUUUCAAAUGACUGUCUAUUCAAAUGGACCCUAUAUGUAUUUGACAUUGUAUUUAAGUGUAGAACAUUGCAUUUUGAUUAAAUUUUGAGAUUUGAAAACAUAUGUGAGGUAACUGGGCAUUCAUUGUCAAAAUGGUUUGGUUUUUCUAAUUGGGAUGUGCGCAUGGUCUGUAGAUUAUUUACAGAAUCAUUUAAUGCAAUAAAAAGAGGGCAAGAGGGGACAACGUUUGUGCAUU